CGCAUUAAACAUUCCGCCUGGGGAGUACGGUCGCAAGGCUGAAACUCGAAGGAAUUGACGGGGGCCCGCACAAGCGGUGGAGCAUGUGGUUCAAUUCGACGCAACGCGAAGAACCUUACCCAGGCUCGAACGGCAUUGGACAUCCUGCGAAAGCAGGCUCCCGCAAGGGCCGAUGUCGAGGUGCUGCAUGGCUGUCGUCAGCUCGUGUCGUGAGAUGUUGGGUUAAGUCCCGCAACGAGCGCAACCCUUGUCCGCUGUUGCCAUCACGUUAUGGUGGGCACUCUGCGGAGACUGCCGGUGAUAAACCGGAGGAAGGUGGGGAUGACGUCAAGUCAGCAUGGCCUUUAUGUCUGGGGCUACACACGUGCUACAAUGGCCGGUACAAACCGUCGCAAAACCGUAAGGUCGAGCUAAUCGGAGAAAGCCGGUCUCAGUUCGGAUUGCAGGCUAGGGAGAGAACUGCAUGAAGUUGGAAUCGCUAGUAAUCGCGGAUCAGCACGCCGCGGUGAAUACGUUCCC
rnacentral:rRNA from 1 species